UACGAAGGGGGCUAGCGUUGCUCGGAAUCACUGGGCGUAAAGGGUGCGCAGGCGGCUUCGCAAGUCAGGCGUGAAAUCCCCGGGCUUAACCUGGGAACUGCACUUGAAACUACGAUGCUGGAGUGUGGCAGAGGGAGGUGGAAUUCCACGUGUAGCGGUGAAAUGCGUAGAGAUGUGGAGGAACACCGAUGGCGAAGGCAGCCUCCUGGGCCAAUACUGACGCUCAUGCACGAAAGCGUGGGGAGCAAACAGG
rnacentral:rRNA from 1 species